GUUCGACCGGUUAUUUGUGUUUGUCACUCUUACAACUUCACUCGAUUGACUUCAGUAUUAAUUUCCUUAAAUAGCUGUCCAUCAAAUUCGAAAUAAUCAAUGAAUUUUUAUCAUUACACAUUUUCGGUUGCAUACUUCAACUCGCCUAUGUAUAAAUAUAUUAAAAAAUUACGAAGAAAGUGAAAGUAAAAAUGAAGAGCAGUUUUCCUCCAGUUUCAUUUUGGCAUAGAUACAAUGACAGUCGUAGACCGUUUCCGAGUUUGAUUUCUCCGCUUUUACACUCGGUUUGCUAUGAAAAUGAAUCUAUAUUGGUACAUGUUUAUAGUAACAGUUAUAAUGCUUCUUCAUUCGGAUGCAAAAAAACCUAAAAAAACAAGAAACAUAAAAAUGGACAAACGAUCUCAAAGAACUAUUGUCCCUUACAUUGAUUUUGGUGCUCAUACAGGAUCGCAUGGAUCAUACGGAUGGUACGCUGAUUUUCCAGCCCAUAUAAAAUAAUGCAAUCGUUCAAAUGUCUUUUUUUACAAUUGUUAUAAUUCUUUUAAUAAAAAUUUACAAUUUCAUCAAAAUUUGCUUUUUAAAAAUAAAUAUUCAUUGUUGAGGAGUGAUUCCUUUUAAUUAUAAUAUUAAUAGUAAAUAAUAAAUCCUUCA